UACAGAGGUCUCAAGCGUUGUUCGGAAUCAUUGGGCGUAAAGGGUGUGUAGGCGGUUAUGUUAGUCUCCCGUUAAAUUCUUCGGCUCAACCGGGGGCAUGCGGGGGAAACGGCAUAACUUGAGGAUGGAAGGGGUCUCUGGAACUCAUGGUGUAGCGGUGAAAUGCGUUGAUAUCAUGGGGAACACCGAAAGCGAAGGCAAGAGACUGGUCCACUCCUGACGCUGAAACACGAAAGCGUGGGUCGCGAAUGGG
rnacentral:rRNA from 1 species